rnacentral:rRNA from 1 species
GAUGAACGCUGGCGGCGUGCCUAAUACAUGCGAGUCGAGCGAACAGACGAGGAGCUUGCUCCUCUGACGUUAGCGGCGGACGGGUGAGUAACACGUGGAUAACCUACCUAUAAGACUGGGAUAACUUCGGGAAACCGGAGCUAAUACCGGAUAAUAUAUUGAACCGCAUGGUUCAAUAGUGAAAGACGGUUUUGCUGUCACUUAUAGAUGGAUCCGCGCCGCAUUAGCUAGUUGGUAAGGUAACGGCUUACCAAGGCAACGAUGCGUAGCCGACCUGAGAGGGUGAUCGGCCACACUGGAACUGAGACACGGUCCAGACUCCUACGGGAGGCAGCAGUAGGGAAUCUUCCGCAAUGGGCGAAAGCCUGACGGAGCAACGCCGCGUGAGUGAUGAAGGUCUUCGGAUCGUAAAACUCUGAUAUUAGGGAAGAACAAAUGUGUAAGUAACUAUGCACGUCUUGACGGUACCUAAUCAGAAAGCCACGGCUAACUACGUG